rnacentral:rRNA from 1 species
UACGUAGGGGGCAAGCGUUGUCCGGAUUUAUUGGGCGUAAAGAGCGUGUAGGCGGCCAUACAGGUCAGCUGUGAAAACUCGAGGCUCAACCUCGAGACGUCGGUUGAAACCGUAUGGCUAGAGUCCGGAAGAGGAGAGUGGAAUUCCCGGUGUAGCGGUGAAAUGCGCAGAUAUCGGGAAGAACACCCGUGGCGAAGGCGGCUCUCUGGGGACGGUACUGGACGCUGAGACGGCGAAAGCGUG